rnacentral:rRNA from 1 species
CCUACGGGAGGCAGCAGUGAGGAAUAUUGGUCAAUGGCCGGAAGGCUGAACCAGCCAUGCCGCGUGAAGGUCAGUGCCCUAUGGGCGUUAAACUUCUUUUGUGCGGGAGCAAUAAUGGUCACGUGUGGCCAGACGAGAGUACCGUACGAAUAAGCAUCGGCUAACUCCGUGCCAGCAGCCGCGGUAAUACGGGGGAUGCAAGCGUUAUCCGGAUUUAUUGGGUUUAAAGGGUGCGUAGGCUGUGAGGUAAGUCAGCGGUGAAAUGCCUCCGCGCAACGGGGUGAAGUGCCAUUGAUACUGCCUGGCUGGAAUGCGGAUGCCGUGGGAGGAAUGUGUGGUGUAGCGGUGAAAUGCAUAGAUAUCACACAGAACACCGAUUGCGAAGGCAUCUCACGAAUCCGCGAUUGACGCUGAUGCACGAAAGCGUGGGUAUCAAACAGGAUUAGAUACCCUUGUAGUC